rnacentral:rRNA from 1 species
GACGAACGCUGGCGGCGUGCUUAACACAUGCAAGUCGAACGGUGAAGGGGUCUGCUUUUGUGGGCCCUGGAUGAGUGGCGAACGGGUGAGUAACACGUGAGUAACCUGCCCCCUUCUUCUGGAUAACCGCAUGAAAGUGUGGCUAAUACGGGAUAUUCUGGGUCUGUCGCAUGAUGGGUCUGGGAAAGAUUGCGCCUUUGGGUGUUUUUGGUGGGGGAUGGGCUCGCGGCCUAUCAGCUUGUUGGUGGGGUGAUGGCCUACCAAGGCGGUGACGGGUAGCCGGCCUGAGGGGGUGGGCGGUGACAGUGGGACUGAGACACGGCCCAGACUCCUACGGGAGGCAGCAGUGGGGAAUAUUGCACAAUGGGCGCAAGCCUGAUGCAGCGACGCCGCGUGAGGGAUGGCGGCCUUCGGGUUGUAAACCUCUUUCGCCAGUGAAGCAGGCCUGCUCCUUGUGGGUGGGUUGACGGUAGCUGGAUAAGAAGCGCCGGCUAACUACGUG